rnacentral:rRNA from 1 species
CCGGCGCACGGUGAGUAACGCGUAUGCAACUUACCUAUCAGAGGGGGAUAACCCGGCGAAAGUCGGACUAAUACCGCAUAAAGCAGGGAUCCCGCAUGGGAAUAUUUGCUAAAGACUCAUCGCUGAUAGAUAGGCAUGCGUUCCAUUAGGCAGUUGGCGGGGUAACGGCCCACCAAACCGACGAUGGAUAGGGGUUCUGAGAGGAAGGUCCCCCACAUUGGUACUGAGACACGGACCAA